GGCGGCCACCUGUGCUAAUUAGCGAUCUAACGUUCUCCGAACACCUGUGUAUGUGUAACUGGGGAGGAAGUGUUUUUCAUCAACUAGAGGCACACACAGCUUCUGGAUCUGUGUAAAACUGCUACAGAGAAGUCUUCCCCUAGGAGAACUCCCUCCCGAUCCACCCCCAUGAAACAUCACUUCUGAUAAGGGCAUCUAUGGGAGAGGAGACGGAGUGGCAAGGAGGUGGUCACUGACCUGGAUGACUUUCAAGCCAAGGUACAUCACCUUAAGCAAAGCAAACAGUGUUUGGUGUUUGGUUCAUAAUAAGUCAACAUCUUCAAGCAUGGAAUGGACCACGUUUGUUUCCCCAACAAAAGCCAUGCAGUGAGAAGGUGUCUGCAUUUUACGGCCUAUAGGCCCAUAACAUCUUCCACAAGAAGUGUUUGACUUGCAGUACCCCAGAAACAGGUUAUUCACUGAGAUGGUGGAUAGAUAACCAGCAAAGGAUCAUAAUAAAAAUGAACAAUUGUUCCCAAACAACGACUUUCCCAAGGUUAAUCUUGAAAUGUGCACAUUGCCAUUGAAAACCAGCCUU